UGGAUACCGGCAUGCAAGUCAAGGGGGCCCGCAAGGGCAACCGGCGAACGGCUUAGUAACACGUAGAUACAUACCCAAAAGUGGGGCAUAGCUCGUCGAAAGACGGGGUAAUUUCCCAUAGUCUCGCAAGAGUAAACACGCAAGUGGCUUUUGGAAUGGUCUGCGGUCUAUCAGCUAGUUGGUGAGGUAAUGGCUCACCAAGGCUAUGACGGAUAGGGGGCGUGAGAGCGCGUUCCCCAAGAAUGGCACUGCGACACGGGCCAUACUCCUACGGGAGGCUGCAGUCGAGAAUCUUCCGCAAUGGGCCUCCUGACGAGCGACAUUUCUGAUGGAUGAAGGG
rnacentral:rRNA from 1 species